GACGAACGCUGGCGGCGUGCCUAAUACAUGCAAGUUGAGCGCUGAAGGUUGGUACUUGUACCGACUGGAUGAGCGGCGAACGGGUGAGUAACGCGUGGGGAAUCUGCCUUUGAGCGGGGGACAACAUUUGGAAACGAAUGCUAAUACCGCAUAAAAACUUUAAACACAAGUUUUAAGUUUGAAAGAUGCAAUUGCAUCACUCAAAGAUGAUCCCGCGUUGUAUUAGCUAGUUGGUGAGGUAAAGGCUCACCAAGGCGAUGAUACAUAGCCGACCUGAGAGGGUGAUCGGCCACACUGGAACUGAGACCCGGUCCAAACUCCGACGGGGGGAAGAAGUAGGGAAUCUUCGGCAAUGGGCGAAAGCCGGACGGAGCAACGCCGCGUAAAUGAUGAAGGUCUUCGGAUCGUAAAACUCUGUGAGUAGGGAAGAACAAAUGCGUAAGUAACUAUGCACGUAUUGACGGUACCUAAUCAGAAAGACACGGCUAACUACGUG
rnacentral:rRNA from 1 species